rnacentral:sRNA from 1 species
AAACCCAGGAAAUUUUUCAUACACCAAGUGUUCAUAAUAUGCCAUCUUUCUGACUGGAGUCACCUUUCCUUAGUCAACCCUUCUACUUCAGAGAGAGAACUAUUCAUAGGUCUUUUUUAUCCUCUGGAUUUCCUCACCCAUUUCAUCUCUGAGUUCUAGAAUGCCCUCUUGAGCCCAUAACCAACAAUGUCCUCAUUUUCUUCCCUAUGAACAGAAAUUCCAUCUUCUAAACCAAAACUCAUUGCUCAGCUGGAGCAAGGGGAAGAGCCCUGGAGAGAGGAGAGAAAAUGUCCACUGGACCUCUGUCCAGGGGGAAUGGUUUCAGCUUUUGCCCAUUCAGUAUGAAGUUGGCUGUAGGUUUGUCACAGAUAACUCUUCUUAUUUUGAGCAGAAUCGAAGCCAGAAAUUCAACUUAGUCCCUCCUGCCCUCUGAUUUUCUCCAAUCAGCAAGCUCUCAGCCAACAUGUGUGGCUGAGUCAUCUCUCUCAGCUGUUUUCAAGUUUAUGGGCAGGAAAUCCUCUCCAGCUGGGAAAACACUAUCCAGAAGAUCCGAAACAACAGCAGGAUCCAUUCUGCUUG